rnacentral:rRNA from 1 species
AUGAACGCUGGCGGCGUGCCUAAUACAUGCAAGUCGAGCGAACAGACGAGGAGCUUGCUCCUCUGACGUUAGCGGCGGACGGGUGAGUAACACGUGGUUAACCUACCUAUAAGACUGGGAUAACUUCGGGAAACCGGAGCUAAUACCGGAUAAUAUAUUGAACCGCAUGGUUCAAUAGUGAAAGACGGUUUUGCUGUCACUUAUAGAUGGAUCCGCGCCGCAUUAGCUAGUUGGUAAGGUAACGGCUUACCAAGGCGACGAUGCGUAGCCGACCUGAGAGGGUGAUCGGCCACACUGGAACUGAGACACGGUCCAGACUCCUACGGGAGGCAGCAGUAGGGAAUCUUCCGCAAUGGGCGAAAGCCUGACGGAGCAACGCCGCGUGAGUGAUGAAGGUCUUCGGAUCGUAAAACUCUGUUAUUAGGGAAGAACAAAUGUGUAAGUAACUAUGCACGUCUUGACGGUACCUAAUCAGAAAGCCACGGCUAACUACGUG